AGCAGUAGCCGCGGUAAUACGUAGGUCCCGAGCGUUGUCCGGAUUUAUUGGGCGUAGAGCGAGCGCAGGCGGUUAGAUAAGUCUGAUGUGAAAGCCCCCGGCUCAACCGGGGAGGGUCAUUGGAAACUGGGAAACUUGAGUGCAGAAGAGGAGAGUGAAAUUCCACGUGUAGCGGUGAAAUGCGUAGAGAUGUGGAGGAACACCAGUGGCGAAGGCGACUCUCUGGUCUGUAACUGACGUUGAGGAGCGAAAGCGUGGGGAGCGAACAGGAUUAGAUACCCCCGUAGUCCCUGUCUCUUAUAC
rnacentral:rRNA from 1 species